UGCCAUUUGGUAGAUUUUUCCAGAACAUUAUAUUCUCCAGUUAACUCUCUUCUCAUUUUCUAUCUCCCACAUAAAUAUAGUUGUGUUUUUACCUUCCUUCUGAAGAAACUUGUCUUGCCUUGACUUGAACUUGGCUUAUAUUUAAAAAUUUUCCGCUCUCUUGACCUCUGGUUGGCUAUAUAUAUAUAUUUCCCAAUGACUCGACUGUGCUACCUUUGUCAUAGGAUUUGACAGUUGAAAUUGCUCUUUUUGUAGCAUUCCAAUAGGCCAUCAUUACUUGUUGGAAUCAUAUUUUUCUCUUUUCAAUUGUUCUUGAUCCUUGUCUUUUCUUUGUCUGGCCACUUGGUCGCAUGAAGGUUAAGAACACUUUUAAAUGGACUCAUUUUUUCCCUCUUUUACUUCUGCUAUUGCUUUAAUUUGCUGAGUAAUACUAAUAUGACUUACUUAAUUCAUUUUUGUAUCUGCACUAACUUCUUUUAUCAUGUUUUAGGGCUUACAAACUUGAAAAGCUUACAGAUUUCCUGUAGUAAGGUUACAGAUUUUGGCAUCACUUAUUUAAAAGGUACUACAUGACAAUGUCAUUUGCUGCGAUACUUGACCUUAUGGUAUUAAAAUGAAUAUGAUAAAUUGACAGAUAGUUUCUUCUGUUGGGCUGCCCAGAUUUGGGUGGAUUUUUAUGAGUCUACAACCCCCUACCCCCCAAACAGACACACAUAAAGGCUUUAAUCUAAACUAAGGUGGCCGAUAUUAGAAGGUUUGUUUGCUAUAUGCAUGCCUAAUUCCAUCAAAAGAAAGUCAUUUUAAACCUCUGGACCAGAAUGAAUCAGUUAGUUUUUUAAAUUUCCUGCUU
rnacentral:lncRNA from 1 species